UACGUAGGUAGCAAGCGUUGUCCGGAAUUACUGGGCGUAAAGGGCGUGUAGGCGGUCCGCUAAGACAUGUGUGAAAUUCCUGGGCUCAACCCAGGACGUGCGCCUGUGACUGACGGACUUGAGUCCGGGAGAGGAUGGUGGAACUCCCAGUGUAGAGGUGAAAUUCGUAGAUAUUGGGAAGAACACCCGUGGCGAAGGCGGCCAUCUGGACCGGUACUGACGCUAAGGCGCGACAGCGUGGGGAGCAAACAGG
rnacentral:rRNA from 1 species